CGCAACCCUCGUCGCUAGUGUUUUCUCUAGCGAUACUGCCCGUAUAACGUGGAGGAAGUGGGGAUGACGUCAAGUCAGCAUGGCCUUACAUCCUGGGCUACACACACGCUACAAUGGGUGAUACAACAGGUUGCAAUAGAGUAAUCUGGAAGCCAAUCCCUAAAAUCAUCCUCAGUACGGAUUGCAGGCUGCAACUGCCUGCAUGAAGUUGGAGUUGCUAGUAAACGCAGGUCAAGCACACUGCGUUGAAUACGUUCUCGGGCCUU
rnacentral:rRNA from 1 species